GGCGAAUAUGGCCCCAUGCGGAUAGUGUGUCUAUUAGUUGCUCCAUAUAGAGAUCAGUGGAGGCAAUGAUUUUUCCUGUAAAGUCACAACCUUAGCAGCAUCAUCUUUAAGGGAGGUGUAUCAGACAUGGAGAAGGUGGUGGUAGAAAUUAAAAUGUAAUAUUGGCUAAGAUACUGUGUAAUAAGAGUAAAACAUAAUGUUAAGUUUUUACUCAAUUAUUAAUGCAAUAGUAAUCGAAUUGUAUGUAAUAGAUUGAAAUUUUUGUUGUACUCGUCAUUAAUCAAUUUUACUAAUAGGCUUAAAGGGAAGGAAA
rnacentral:lncRNA from 1 species